GGGAAGGAUGAUACCUACCGCGCAGGAAGGCUGAAAAUUCAGAUGGCGUAAAAUGCUUAAUUAGCAUAGCGCCAGCGUGGUAAGCGCUCAACAAGCGGCAAUGUCUAACAUCUUGGGGUGGAGAGGACUUCGCACGUACUCUCCUUCGAGGUCGUAAAGGCGUCUGCCGACAAAAAGGGCGUUCGUGACGAAAAAGUACCCAAAGCGCGAUUCCGAGACUCUGCGCGCACCCCACCGCUUCAGUUCAUGCCACUCGCGGCAUGCCGGAGCUACAAAAAUCAGCACGGCCUCCCUACAAGAGACCUGAAAUCAAUGGGGUGGUAAGGAAGACAAAAGUUCGAGAAAGCGGAAGAAGAGGCCUUCCCAUCGGGCCCUCCUGGGAGCCGUCCACGGAACACCAUCUGGCGCCACGAGGGAGGGGGACAUCGAAUUCUAAAAUAGGGCUGCCGAAUCUCCCCGGAAAAUUUCUACUCUCCUGAUGUCACCUACAACAGGUAUCCUGAUGACAUUCAACGUCUAUCUCCAGAACUGACAGACGCUUCCGUAUCUUUGGUUUCUGUUAGAAAGUUCAGGACCAGCAAGAGCACAGGACACAGGGCAUGAUUUGUGCAUAAAACUGAUUUUACUUUGGCUUCGUUGCCCCUCCCCUAUUUUCUCUUCACCCUGAUUUCCUCACUUAUUAAAAAAAUAAUAAUUCUACUAUA